rnacentral:tRNA from 1 species
GGGCCGGUAGCUCAGCGGUAGAGCAAUGGACUCUUAAUCCAUUGGCCGUGGGUCCGAAUCCCACCCGGCUCACCA